CAAUUGCUAUACCAGAGAGGACAUCUGCUGAUAAUGCCAUCUCAGUGAUUUCUCAUUCUGCUGUGCCUGUAAGAGCGCAGAGAGUUGCUAAUGACCCAAAUGUCCAGAUAGGGUCCAACUUUACUGUGGAGGCAGUUUUACCAGAGUCAUUGUCAGAGCAUCAUUACCCCCAAUAUGGUGACCAAUCUAACCUAGAUGAUGGUGGAGCAAGAGAUGUUCUCAUUACUGCAGAUCAUGAAAAUCUCUCACUUUUUUCGGCACAUGAUACAAAACCUGUUGGCUCUAUUGAAAUUGAAGAUCAAACAAUUGAACGAUCAGUAGAAACUUCAGGUCAAGAAGAGAGUCAACCCAUAGAACUAGGAGAUCUAUCAAAGCUAGAAAGAUCAGAUGAAACCAAAAUCCCCGAUGAAUUCUAUUCAGCUGCUGACAGUCGUCAAAGCAUAUUAGUGUCCUUCUCUAGUCGAUGUGUUCUAAAUGGAACAGUAUGUGUGCGUUCUCGGCUACUUCGCAUCAAGUUUUAUGGCUCCUUCGAUAAGCCACUUGGGCGAUAUCUUCAGGAUGAUCUUUUUGGUCAGAUAUCUUCCUGUCAAUCGUGCAAGGAGCCAGCUGAGGCUCAUGUCAUCUGCUAUACUCACCAGCAGGCGAAUCUUACUAUAAACGUUAGACGUCUUCCCUUGGUGAAUUCUCUUCCUGGAGAACGGGACAAAAAGAUUUGGAUGUGGCAUCGAUGCCUUAAGUGUGCACAAAUAGAGGGAGUUCCGCCAGCGACUCGCAGAGUAAUAAUGUCAGAUGCUGCUUGGGGACUCUCGUUUGGGAAGUUCUUGGAACUUAGUUUUUCAAAUCAUGCAACUGCUAACCGGGUUGCUAGCUGUGGUCAUUCUCUGCAAAGAGACUGCCUCCGAUACUAUGGGUGUGGAAGUAUGGUUGCAUUCUUCCGCUAUACUCCCAUUGAUAUUCUGUCAGUUCGUCUGCCUCCAUUAACCCUUGAAUUUAGUGGCUACACUGAACAGGAGUGGUUAAGGAAAGAAGCAGCUGAGUUACUUUGUAAAGCCAAAGCUUUGUACGCAGAAAUAUCUAGUGCCUUCCGCAGGGUUGAAGAGAAAAGUUACCCUGUAGAAUGUGAACCAUCCGAUACAACUCAAUUGCAUGACUGCAUUGUGGAGUUAAAGGAGCUGCUUAUGAAGGAAAAGAACGAUUACCAUGACUUUCUUCAGCUGGAUGAGGAUGAAACUUUCGACCCAAGACAGGGAGCAAUAGACAUUCUUGAGCUAAAUCGCUUGAGGCAUUCCCUCGUGAUUGCUUCACAUGUUUGGGAUCGUCGGCUUUUGUCCAUGAAGUCCUUCCUCCAAAAGAGUUCUGGUUCAGUGGGUUCAGAAGAUUGUGGAUCUUGUAAUGAGCUGAUAGAUUGGAGAAGGGACAUGUUUCUAAAGAAUGACACUCUCGAACAUGUUUACGAAGAGUCUGUGCCCGAGUUCUCAGACUCAGAGGAAUACCCCGAGAAAGCUCUGCAGUCUGAACAGGAGGGAACUGGUGUAUCACCUUAUGGUUCUGGUGAGCUAGAAAGUUCCAUGUUGACCUCAUCUGAGAGCGAGACAAUGCAGGAAAUGCAGACGGAAGGGGAGAAUACAUUUAAUCAAACAUCCUUGGAACGAGCUCCUUCAGCUGCAUCGGUCCUUUCUGAUCAGAUAGACUUUGCUUGGUCUGGCACUGAUCGUUCUCCCAAAAAAGCUCAGUUGCUACAAGGAGAUAGAUCUGAAGCUGCUCCUCUCAGACAACCAAGUCAACUUGAUUUGCCUCCUUUUAGAAGACUAAAGUUACCUGCAAGAGUUCACUCGUUCGACUCUGCUAUGAGACUUCAAGACAGAAUCAGGAAGGGGCUGCCACCUUCUUCAUUGCAUUUAUCAUCAAUCAGGUCUUUUCAUGCUUCUGGAGACUAUAAGAAUAUGAUCAGAGAUCCUGUUUCCAGUGUUCAGAGAACUUAUUCUCAGAUGUCACCCAGUGAGGCUCAUAAGUUUAAUCUCCUUAUGGGUUCUUCACCUUCAUUUAUUUCUUAUGCAUCUCUUAUACCUGAUGGAUCUAGGCUGAUGGUUCCACUCAAUGGUUCAAUAGAUGUUGUCCUAGCUGUUUAUGACAAUGAACCUACUAGCAUUAUAUCUUAUGCACUUUGCUCGAAAGUGUAUAGUGACUGGGUCACUGAUAAGUCAAGCGUGUCUGAACGGAGUUGGAACACGAGUGACACGAACAAGGAGGCUGGAGUGGCUUUUAGCCUUUCAACAUGGCAGUCUUUUGGUUCUCUAGACACGGAUUAUAUGCAUUAUGGGAGCCAUGGUUCUGAAGAUGCUUCCAGUACAAUAACUUCCCUCUUUUCAGAUUCAAAAACUUCUCCUCACUUAAGGAUCUCUUUCGAUGAUGAAUCUUCGAGUAGUGGGGGAAAGGUGAAAUUUUCAGUCACUUGUUACUUUGCAAAGCAGUUUGAUGCUCUUAGGAGGAAGUGCUGUCCUGAUGAACUGGAUUUUGUACGUUCCUUAAGCCGUUGUAAAA
rnacentral:misc_RNA from 1 species